UGAGGAAUAUUGCACAAUGGGCGCAAGCCUGAUGCAGCAACGCCGCGUGCGGGACGAAGGCCUUCGGGUCGUAAACCGCUUUUCUGGGGGAAGAGCAAGGACGGUACCUCAGGAAUAAGUCUCGGCUAACUACGUGCCAGCAGCCGCGGUAAAACGUAGGAGGCGAGCGUUAUCCGGAUUUACUGGGCGUAAAGCGCACGCAGGCGGUUCUGUUAGUCGGACGUGAAAGCUCACGGCUUAACCGGGAGAGGCCGUUCGAUACUGCGGGGCUUGAGGUAGGGAGAGGAAUGCGGAAUUCCCGGUGUAGUGGUGGAAUGCGUAGAUAUCGGGAGGAACACCUGUGGCGAAAGCGGCAGUCUGGCCCUCACCUGACGCUGAGGUGCGAAAGCGUGGGUAGCAAACA
rnacentral:rRNA from 1 species